CCCUUAGAUGUUCUGGGCCGCACGCGCGCUACACUGAUGCAAGCAAUAAGCCUUUACCUUGGCCGAGAGGUCUGGGUAAUCUUGUAAAUUGCACCGUGAUGGGGCUUGACGAUUGAAAUUUUUUGUCACCAACGAGGAAUUCCUAGUAAGCGCGAUUCAAGAAGUCGCAUUGAUUACGUCCCUGCCCUUUGUACACACCGCCCGUCGCUCCUACCGAUUGAAUGUUCCGGUGAGCACCUCGGAGUCGUGGUUUUUCUAGGUUCUCCUAGCUCAGCCAGUGGCGAAGUUGUGCAAACCUUAACAUUUAGAGGAAGGAGAAGUCGUAACA
rnacentral:rRNA from 1 species